UACGUAGGGUGCGAGCGUUAAUCGGAAUUACUGGGCGUAAAGCGUGCGCAGGCGGUGAUGUAAGACCGAUGUGAAAUCCCCGGGCUUAACCUGGGAACUGCAUUUGUGACUGCAUCGCUAGAGUACGGUAGAGGGGGAUGGAAUUCCGCGUGUAGCAGUGAAAUGCGUAGAUAUGCGGAGGAACACCGAUGGCGAAGGCAAUCCCCUGGACCUGUACUGACGCUCAUGCACGAAAGCGUGGGGAGCAACAGG
rnacentral:rRNA from 1 species